rnacentral:lncRNA from 1 species
GAGCAAAAGGAAAAACUCCAAACCAAACAAACAAAAAAGGAAAAGUGUUGGGACUUUCUAGAGGCUGAGGCCCAAGACCUUCGAAUUGGGUCUAAGAUGCUCUGAAGUCCAGGGAUCUGCAGUGGAAGGGAUUUGAGAUUCCCACCCGACGUGGCAUCUCUGUCGUCUCCUUUUUGGGUGUCCCAGGAACCGCGUUUUGCAUGUAUUGGCACAAAGCUGACCCAAAUGUAUGGGAAUUCUCCUACUCUGACACCCUGCUGUGGAUUUCCCGCCUCGUCCCACUGCGUCUGCAUUAGCCGUGCCUUCCACCAGACGAGAGAGGGCCCUUUAUAGAUGAGCAGAUCCACCAGUGCCAGUGCGACCUGCUAAGUACACCGUCU